AUAUAUAAUCUUGCUUAGUGGUUCUUAUGUCAAUAAGCCUCAUAUUCCAUUGAGUCAUUGACUAUGAUUUCUCUCUUUGAAAUAGCUCUACUAUCAUCUUGAUGUGUUAAUAUGUUAGUCUUAAAUUUUUGUUUACUUUACAGAUUGGAGAUAAGAAUUGCUGGAGUAAUAACGAAGUUUAUUACUGCAUCAUUGUUUAUGUGGAUAGCUCAUGUUGCAAUAUUGUAUGGCUAUAACAACAAUUUGAUUCCUGGGAAGAAAUAAAUGGUCACGCACUAGAUGAAUUUAACAUUUAGUCAGAUGGGAUGCCAGUUCUUGAUACAAAGGAGGGAUUCAUAAAUGAGAGGUGGACUUUGUUUUAUGAUAUGUAUUUGUAUUCUCAUCUAGGAUGUCAGAAAUGAAGCCUGUCAGGAGGCCAAGGCUAAGGAGAGAGAUUGAACAACUGCCACAUCAACAACAAUGUAAACAUCCAAGCGCCUGAAGAUCUACCACGAGUGCCUACUGCAGUUCAUUACCGAUUAGAUCUGGAUCAAGAAGAAUAGAAAACUAGCCAAGUGUAAAAGAACUUUUCUUACAGUACAAUAGAGCUUUAUUGUAGUUCAUGAAUCAUGACUAAAAUUAAUUUGUUUUAUUCUUUUUGUCAAACUAUUAUCCAUAAUAAAAAAAUGGCAUUCAUUAUUUUUGUGUAAUUUUUUUAUUCUAAUAAAUAAUUUAGUGUGGAAAUUUUACGGUCA